UUCCGGGGUUGUGAGCUGUUCGGUGCGUGCCUCGGCCUCCGCUAUCGGAGCAGUAGUUGAGGCCUCCUAGCCCGCUGCGCCGGGGAGGACCCUCCGGCGGCGCCGAAUCACCCGGCCUCGGACUUGCUGCUGCUGCUUCCUUGGGGCAGCUCUUCAGCCCAAGCCCAUGCUCGUCGAAAUACUAGAGCAGCAAAUGAAGUGAAGAGAUAAGCUUGUUACUGGCUUUGGGAAUCAGUCUGGAAUCUGCCAUGCUGUUACCUUGCAAGCAGAAAAAUGUCAUGUGAAUUCUGGAGCUACUGAAGUGCUCUGACAUCAGAUGACCUUCCAUUGUCCUCGAGCUUUGUGUAUGCACGUACAGCUAACGGCAGACUCCACCUGCUCUAGAAGUAUGGGUGUUCAAGAAUCUUGAAAACAGCAGCCUGACAUGUGGAGUACUCAUGCACUUGGAAAUGCUUUCAUGGCCCUUGUUCCUAGAAAUACCUCUUGGUUCAACAGUAAGGCAGGGGACUAGCUGUUCAGUGAAAACAUGUGAAUAAUCCUCAAAUGAAGUUCAGGGAGUUUUCAUCACUGAGGUCAAAUGGAAAUACAGGAUUUGGUGCUACGCAUAAUGCAGACUUGCCUAAACAAAGAAGAAAUCAAGACUUACAGUAAAAGGCUUGAUAAACUUUUGCCAGGACUUUGAAGGGAAAAAAAAGCUGUGACAGAUUACUUUGUAAUGCAAUCUUGUAUGUUACCAUUUAAGUGUUACAUCAUAAUUCUUGUAUAACUGCCAAAUUUGUGUGUGAACAAAUGUGACUGAUGCUAGAUU